rnacentral:tRNA from 1 species
GCGGUGAACAGGGCUCCGAACAGCGAUUUCGUCCCCAGUCUAAUCAGCUUCCCAAGCUGACAGUGCGAGUUCGAUUCUCGUCACCCGCU